rnacentral:lncRNA from 1 species
GUGAUACGCGUGUGGUCGCCUGGGCGACGAAGCUGGCACUGAAUUGUAGAAGGGAGGCCUAGCAGGCAGGCCGAAGCCAUGGACAUAGAUGCCGAACGAGAGAAGGUAACACAGGAGAUCCAGGAGCUCGAAAGGAUUCUGUAUCCUGGAUCCUCCAGCGUCCACUUUGAGGUCUCUGAAUCCAGUCUCAGUUCGGACUCUGAAGCAGGUCAGUGUGCCUAGCCUAGCAUGGCAUGGCUGGGCCAGCCGUGUGACCCUUUAGCUACAUGAGGCUGAGAGCUGUUCCAUGGUCAGACUCUGUUUCUUGCCCAAACCGUUCUCUGCUCUCACCUCAUUUAAGAAAGUUAGUUCCAGUCUCUUGGUCUUAGCUGUCAGGACUGUUGACUGUAGGUGCACA